rnacentral:rRNA from 1 species
UACGUAGGGGGCAAGCGUUGUCCGGAUUUAUUGGGCGUAAAGAGCGUGUAGGCGGCCAGGUAGGUCUGCUGUGAAAACUCGAGGCUUAACCUCGAGAUGUCGGCGGAAACCAUCUGGCUAGAGUCCGGAAGAGGAGAAUGGAAUUCCCGGUGUAGCGGUGAAAUGCGCAGAUAUCGGGAAGAACACCCGUGGCGAAGGCGGUUCUCUGGGCCAUUACUGACGCUGAGGAGCGAAAGCGUGGGGAGCGAACAGG